rnacentral:lncRNA from 1 species
AUAGGAAUUUCCCCUAAACUUCUUCUUCUUCCCCACACACCACCACCUAUUUCACACUUCUGCAAUUCAAUUCAGCGGAGCUCACAAAAUUGUGGCAAUAUUCUGGCUGGGGCUGUUGGAGCUCCCCUGAAGUCAACCACACACCUUAACCAAAUGGCGUCAUCGGAGAAGCGGUGUUUAGACGGGGAGGCUGGAGCAAUGCCAUUUCUCACAAAUGGAUGGACGGGAAUCUGAGUCCUUGGAGAAUCUGAGACCGCGGAGAUCUUAGAUACAGAGCACCUCUACACGGGAAUCUGAGUCAGCGGAGAGGAAUCGAUCAGGAAGAGUGGCAACGAUGCCAGAUCGGAGGUUUACUGUCGCCGGCGUCGAUAGACCGGGCUCACCGGUUCUUCAGCGGCAGCGGCAAUAAAGUGCAGAUCCGAGGCUGGCUGGAGAGAUGAGGGAGCUCGGGAAUCGCCUCUUCUCUGACCGCCGGAUGCUGUAAGAUCUGGCCGUCAAACGCCGGAAGUCGACGCCGGAGAUAGAGCUCCGCCUGAGACAGAAGCCGCGCGAUCCGGAUGAGACUGAGCAGAGGGUCGCGGCUCGAGCGGCGGACGGCGGUGCGGCUCAGACGGCGGGCCUUACGCAGAGCAACAGGAAAGGCGCUCCAAGGCGCUGCCGAUCCAGAGCAAGGCGCUGCCCAAAUCUACCACCGGAAACAACCUACAGCAGCUUCUUGUGCGGCCAGAUGCAGGCGGCGAGGCGAGUAGAGAUCCGAGCGCGCGGUGGUGGAGAUCCGAGCGCUGGGUGGUGGAGAUCCAAGCGCUGGGCUUCUCAGUUCAGCGCGGUGGUCAACCGGAGGCUUCUCAACCGGAGAUCCGAGCGCUGGGCUUCUCGGAUUUAGUU